AUACAGCUGACUUUUGUAUAUUGAUCUUGUAUCAUGCAGCUCUGCUGAAUUGAUUGACUGACUGACUGAAGACCUUGUUGCAUACCAAGAGAUGGUUCUUCAUGGAGUUGUAUCUCAUUCUGAGGUUCCUACUUGGCAAAAGACAGGCUGGUAACAGGUGUCCUGAUGUCUACUGCCACUUGGAUUAUUCAUUUUGUAGAA
rnacentral:lncRNA from 10 species